rnacentral:rRNA from 1 species
AAAGAAACCAACAGGGAUUGCCCUAGUAACGGCGAGUGAAGCGGCAACAGCUCAAAUUUGAAAUCUGGCCCUCGGGUCCGAGUUGUAAUUUGUAGAGGAUGCUUUUGGUGAGGUGCCUUCCGAGUUCCCUGGAACGGGACGCCAUAGAGGGUGAGAGCCCCGUCUGGUUGGAUACCGAGCCUCUGUAAAGCUCCUUCGACGAGUCGAGUAGUUUGGGAAUGCUGCUCUAAAUGGGAGGUAUAUGUCUUCUAAAGCUAAAUACCGGCCAGAGACCGAUAGCGCACAAGUAGAGUGAUCGAAAGAUGAAAAGCACUUUGAAAAGAGAGUUAAAAAGUACGUGAAAUUGUUGAAAGGGAAGCGCUUAUGACCAGACUUGGGCUUGGUUGAUCAUCCUGGGUUCUCCCUGGUGCACUCUUCCAGUUCAGGCCAGCAUCAGUUCGCUGCGGGGGAUAAAAGCUUUGGGAAUGUGGCUCCCUCGGGAGUGUUAUAGCCCAUUGCAUAAUACCCUGCUCCGGACUGAGGUUCGCGCAUCUGCAAGGAUGCUGGCGUAAUGGUCAUCAGCGACCCGUCUUGAAACACGGACCAAGGAGUCGUCUUCGUAUGCGAGUGUUCGGGUGUUAAACCCCUACGCGUAAUGAAAGUGAACGCAGGUGAGAGCUUCGGCGCAUCAUCGACCGAUCCUGAUGUUCUCGGAUGGAUUUGAGUAAGAGCAUACGGGGCCGGACCCGAAAGAAGGUGAACUAUGCCUGUAUAGGGUGAAGCCAGAGGAAACUCUGGUGGAGGCUCGCAGCGGUUCUGACGUGCAAAUCGAUCGUCAAAUAUGGGCAUGGGGGCGAAAGACUAAUCGAACCUUCUAGUAGCUGGUU